CCCAGUUUGCUAAGGCAAAAUACAGCGAUAAAAAAAAAAAAGGAAGAAAAAACACGUGGAGCAAAAGCACGCACCCCUGUGUGAAAACAGCCCCCCAGAAUCACAAAGCGACCAGAAAAUGUGUUCUUAAUCGUGAGAGGCUGAGGGCCUGCCAGCCACAGAGCUGUGAUGGGACGGAAGUGCUGGUGACAGCAGACACUGACACCUCUCAUAAAGGCUCCAAGUGCAAAACUCCAGGCUGCCAACACACCAGGAGGUCACAGAGGGGUUUUCUCCCCCAGCUGGGGGUUGCCCUGUGCCCUGACCCAUGUGCAGCCCCUGCUCUGCAGAUGGGAGCUGGGCCUCACCUGUGCCGUGAAGGCCACACCUCCCCGAUGGGGUAAACCAGCCUUCAUCAGUUAUCAGCUGUGUAAUGAGCUGUAAUGCAGUGCAGGUGUGCUGGUAGCUGGUGCUGCUGGGUGAGUGACUGGUUCCUGCCAGCACAAAGCCCAGGAGCUGCUCUGGGAGCAACACUGGAGUGUGUCUGCUGCAUCUCUGUGUGGUACAACAUGGAGCUGUGCUACCUGGGCAACUGUACUGCGGUGUGGACAUCAGUGUGCCACCCGCGUGAUGAAGAAGCGAGAAAAAACGAUCUCAAGAUCACAGUCUGUCAGAAAAAUGAACGCAUUUUAAACGGCGAAGGACGAACGCGGCGCUCGCUGGCGGGGCCCUCCCCUGCUGCCCUGCAGGAGGUGUGUAAGGCACUGAGACAAAGGCUGGGACGCCCAUCCGGACUCCAGGGACAACAGGGAGAUGGUGCCGAAGCUUGGGUGCACUUCCACCACGUAUUUCACAGCCAGGGAGGCGAAGCUGCACCCCCCAGCGCUGGCCCUGCUCAGGUAACAAGUAACGUGGGAAGCAAACCUUGUCGAGAUGGGAUGCAUGGGCAGCAGAGCAGCACACCGCUCCUUGGUUUGCAGCAAAAAAGAGAAAAAGACAAUGCUUGGGAAGAGCUGAGUGUCCCAGCAGCACAGUGGGGCUGGACUGGGCUGGAAAGCAAAGGGGAAAUGCUUCCCGUUACUGUCACAGCAUUGAUGUUUGCAGCCCGUAGAACUAAGCCACGCUGGGUUGGUAAAGAUUGUCUGGGGAGAGCUGGAGGAGGGAGGACUGGGACCAUCGCUCUCUUUAACUGGGCUUGUUGCUUACCUAUGGCUAAAGCCCAUGGCCAUGUCUUCAGCUAUUUCUGA
rnacentral:lncRNA from 1 species